UAUGAUUUUAUGAUUUCUUCUUUUUUUUAAUUCUCUUCUGAAACUAUCAGCCUGCUAAACCGCUAACCAGUUAACUCUAAGCAACAGCGGGCAGUAAUGAAGGUUUCUGUGUGAUAUCUAAAUCCAAUAUCCUGAGCGCAUCUGACAUUUUCUUGCAAUUUCCAUACUGAAUUCGACUGGCGAUAGCGCAUUUCAAGAUUUCCAUUUCCAUUUCAAACCAUGGUAGAAAGUGUGCCACAUACUGCCAGCAUCCACGUACAUGUACCUGUGUAUGUGUGACCUCUUCAAUGGGUUUGGUGAUGAUACAGCCACUUGUGCCCUUGUCUAUCUCUGUAUAUGUUUAAUGUUAAUCCUCCAGCAGACGGUUGUUAGAGUUGACAAUUUUAUGUUCCCAGUUGGCGGAGUACCGGUAUGAGCCCUUCGCAGGCAUACAGUUAACAAUUUAAUGUCCGAUGUUCCUGAUUGCUGCUUACUGUGUGCUCUAUGAUGGUGGGAAUAUAACUCCGUUUCAGAUGAUACUGGAAAUAGCUUUCCAAAGUCUAGUUAAUCUCAAUAUGUUGAAGUAUGACCAGUAGACAAUUGACCAAUUCUCCUGGCACUGGCUGCUAUUGGCCGCACUGAUCUUAGGUCUAACACCCUCCCCUCCCCUCCCCUCCCGCUAUUGCCUGGCAUGUCAUUUAUCUCAGCCUGCUUUCCCACAUCAUGAUACAAUGGGUGAUAUUUCUUCUGUGUGUGUGUGUGUGUGUGUGUGUGUGUGUGUGUGUGUGUGUGUGUGUGUGUGUGUGUGUGAAUGCUGAGCAACGUGCGGAUGGAUUGCCACGAGCAUUCAAGUCGACUUCUCAAUCACCGCCUACCGGACAGCAUUCCAUUCCACUGUCAUCACCUCGCAGAAUUUGCUAGGCCUCUGGAUAUUCUAUUGUGAUUGCUAUGGAACAGCACCAGGCAUUGCUCACAACCAAAAGUCAGAUGUCGGGCUGAAGUACAUCCUACGCAAAGCGCCAGCAACUGAAAAACACCCAUGCCAAGCAUUGUUAGCCAGCCCGCUCCACUGCCAGCAGGACAACGCAGGUCAGGCUACGAGUUCAGAACUGUUUGUUCAUCGGCACAGUGGACCAAGGCUUCUUCAUCAAGAACUUGGCUGCUGCUGCCGCCCACCCUCUUUCCCACAGCCGAGUUUGCCAUGGACAACCCUGUGGAGGCUGGGAAAUAGGAUUUGCCGCGGUGUCGUGAUAAGUAUCCAUUUGAGCUCCUUCAAACCUCACAGCUAUUAUGCCGUUGUACUUUGAAGUAUACUUUACAGUCCGUUUGGUAAAAAUCACAUUUGCAGCUAGGAAAUCCCAACAUAGGCCGGGUUUAGGCUGGAAAGCCCCAGUCAAACGCUUUCAAAAUACUAGACUUACAACUUCAUUUGGAUCCUGUCAGCAAGAAAACCCAGACUCCCUGGACUGACUCAGUGCAACCUCAAAUGUGAACAAGAAGAGUCUGCACGACCCAUAUAUUGAAGGAUUUUCGGCUAUUUGCAUUGUUUCUGCCACUAUACGAAUGAGGAGGCAGUGGAGAGGCCAGA